CUGGGAGGGACUGGGAGGGACUGGUUUGUGCUGUUUACACUGGUCCAUACUGGUCCGUACUGGUCCGUACUGGUCAGUACUGGUCCAUACUGGUCCAUACUGGUCCGUACUGGUCCGUACUGGUCCAUACUGGUCCCUAACUGGUUUAUACUGGUCUGUACUGGUCCGUACUGGUCCGUACUGGUCCAUACUGGUCCAUACUGGUCCGUACUGGUCCGUACUGGUCCGUACUGGUCCGUACUGGUCCAUACUGGUCCGUACUGGUCCGUACUGGUUUAUACUGGUCCAUACUGGUCCGUACUGGUCCGUACUGGUCCGUACUGGUCCGUACUGGUCCAUACUGGUCUGUACUGGUCCAUACUGGUCCGUACUGGUCCGUACUGGUCCAUACUGGUCCGUACUGGUUUAUACUGGUCCGUACUGGUCCGUACUGGUCCAUACUGGUCCGUACUGGUCCGUACUGGUCCAUACUGGUCCAUACUGGUCCCUAACUGGUUUAUACUGGUCCGUACUGGUCCGUACUGGUCCAUACUGGUCGUACUGGUCGCAUUUGGUCCGUACUGGUCCAUACUGGUCCAUACUGGUCCGUACUGGUCCGUACUGGUCCGUACUGGUCCAUACUGGUCCGUACUGGUCCGUACUGGUUUAUACUGGUCCAUACUGGUCCGUACUGGUCCGUAUACGGUCCGUUUACUGGUCCGUACUGGUCCAUACUGGUCUGUACUGGUCCGUACUGGUCCGUACUGGUCCGUACUGGUCCAUACUGGUCCGUACUGGUUUAUACUGGUCCGUACUGGUCCGUACUGGUCCAUACUGGUCUGUACUGGUCUGUACUGGUCCGUACUGGUCCGUACUGGUCCAUACUGGUCCAUACUGGUCCCUAACUGGUUUAUACUGGUCCGUACUGGUCCGUACUGGUCCGUACUGGUCCAUACUGGUCCCUAACUGGUUUAUACUGGUCCGUACUGGUCCCAGGUUCAUCGAGGAUUCCCAGCUCAGCUCGCUCUCAC
rnacentral:lncRNA from 14 species